UACGUAGGGUGCGAGCGUUAAUCGGAAUAACUGGGCGUAAAGGGUGCGCAGGCGGUGCGGGAAGACGGAUGUGAAAGCCCCGGGCUUAACCUGGGAAAGGCAUACGUGACUGGCGCACUAGAAUCUCGCAGAGGGAGGUAGAAUUCCACGUGUAGCAGUGAAAUGCGUAGAGAUGUGGAGGAAUACCAAUGGCGAAGGCAGCCUUCUGGGCGAAGAUUGACGCUGAGGCACGAAAGCGUGGGGAGCAAACAGGAUUAGAUACCCUGGUAGUCCACGCCCUAAACGAUGUCAACUAGUUGUUGGGGAAAACUUUUCCUUAGUAACGAAGCUAACGCAUGAAGUUGACCGCCUGGGGAGUACGGUCGCAAGAUUAAA
rnacentral:rRNA from 1 species